rnacentral:rRNA from 1 species
CUUAUAUUGAAACCUAGUGAUGUAUGAGUUAGUGGCGGACGGGUGAGUAACGCGUGGAGAACCUGCCGUAUACUGGGGGAUAACACUUAGAAAUAGGUGCUAAUACCGCAUAAGCGCACAGCUUCGCAUGAGGCAGUGUGAAAAACUCCGGUGGUAUACGAUGGAUCCGCGUCUGAUUAGCUAGUUGGCGGGGUAAAGGCCCACCAAGGCGACGAUCAGUAGCCGGCCUGAGAGGGUGAACGGCCACAUUGGGACUGAGACACGGCCCAAACUCCUACGGGAGGCAGCAGUGGGGAAUAUUGCACAAUGGGGGAAACCCUGAUGCAGCGACGCCGCGUGAGUGAAGAAGUAUUUCGGUAUGUAAAGCUCUAUCAGCAGGGAAGAAAAUGACGGUACCUGACUAAGAAGCCCCGGCUAACUACGUGCCAGCAGCCGCGGUAAUACGUAGGGGGCAAGCGUUAUCCGGAUUUACUGGGUGUAAAGGGAGCGUAGACGGCAGCGCAAGUCUGGAGUGAAAUCCCAUGGCUUAACCAUGGAACUGCUUUGGAAACUGUGCAGCUGGAGUGCAGGAGAGGUAAGCGGAAUUCCUAGUGUAGCGGUGAAAUGCGUAGAUAUUAGGAGGAACACCAGUGGCGAAGGCGGCUUACUGGACUGUAACUGACGUUGAGGCUCGAAAGCGUGGGGAGCAAACAGGAUUAGAUACCCUGGUAGUCCACGCUGUAAACGAUGAUUACUAGGUGUUGGGGGACCAAGGU